GUGCAAUAAGAGAGAAAGAAAGAGAUAGGGGACAUGAUAAAAAAAGAAGAGGAAAAACAAGGAGAAUAAGAAAAAAGAGGAGUAGAAGCUGGUGUUACACGUAAUGGUGCGCAGGAGAAUAAAACGAUCUGUGCGACUGCUUGACGCGUGUUUUUGCUGUUUCGCGACUCCUUCCAGCAUGAUUCUACAAGAUCUGUGUCGGAUUUGAGGGCGUGAAUCGUUCUAUGGUAAAUUUCGGCCAAUCCGUAGCGGUAAGAAGCGGUGUGUGGCGGUUCAGUAGCUGCACGUAUGGAGCGCGCAGACUUUCAGUGUUGCACGCAAUAAGUUUUAAAACCUGUUCGGUAUGUGAGUUUAAAA
rnacentral:lncRNA from 1 species